rnacentral:rRNA from 1 species
GAUGAACGCUGGCGGCGUGCUUAACACAUGCAAGUCGAACGGGAUCCCAGGAGCUUGCUCCUGGGUGAGAGUGGCGAACGGGUGAGUAAUGCGUGACCGACCUGCCCCAUACACCGGAAUAGCUCCUGGAAACGGGUGGUAAUGCCGGAUGCUCCAGUUGGAUGCAUGUCCUUCUGGGAAAGAUUCAUCGGUAUGGGAUGGGGUCGCGUCCUAUCAGCUUGAUGGCGGGGUAACGGCCCACCAUGGCUUCGACGGGUAGCCGGCCUGAGAGGGCGACCGGCCACAUUGGGACUGAGAUACGGCCCAGACUCCUACGGGAGGCAGCAGUGGGGAAUAUUGCACAAUGGGCGCAAGCCUGAUGCAGCGACGCCGCGUGCGGGAUGACGGCCUUCGGGUUGUAAACCGCUUUUGACUGGGAGCAAGCCCUUCGGGGUGAGUGUACC